rnacentral:misc_RNA from 1 species
CGCGCAUAAGCCCACCCCAUCACAGAAGCUGGAUUCAUGCAUCCCCCUGUUAGAUCAGAACCAAGAAUGUGAAGAGUCAGUUUGGAUAGACUGGAUAUCCAUGUCUUCAUGAAAGUACUCGCUCGACUUCUUCUGGAAAGUCCAAGUGAAAUGCUAACAAUUGCAAAUGUCAAAAUUCCUUCUGUCAAUGCACCUCGAUGAAUGUCAAUGCUCAAAACAGGUCCACGUCCUAUGUUUGGAAAUGCCGCAAUGAUGAAUCUAACCCCAGUAAUUGAACCAAAGACCUGAGAAGGAAUUCUAGCAGCAACAGUGAAGAUGAAAUUGGUGAGAUCCCCGGAGAUGGCACCAGAUAAUAUAGUGAGAGGGUUGUAUGCCCCACCUUUGGUAGCUUUAGUCAACAAGGCAAAUAAAAACAUAUUGAUGACAGAAAUAGCAUGUUUGAGGAUUUCACCUUUGAGAUCAUGAGCCCCAUAACCCAAGAUUUUAUGAACAAACAUCUUAAUAAGCACACUUGACCAAACCCACAUGAAAGACAUGAUGAAAUCUGAAAUCACAAGGCUUCUCCUGCUUACCCCCAUUUCGUCUUUUCCUUGUUUGUUUGGAGACGAAGGAGUUACUGAGGAAGGGUCUGUGUGGCUAAGCUUUCGGUUUCGGUUUCCUUACUUAUGUUGACGUCGGUCGUCGGGGACUCAUUAUUGUGGCUGUUGUCAGCAUCUUUAUCGGAAUUGCUACGAAACAGGUCAAUCUUUUAUCUCUUUUUCUUUUUCCUUACUUAUGUUGACGUCGGUCGUCGGGGACUCAUUAUUGUGGCUGUUGUCAGCAUCUUUAUCGGAAUUGCUACGAAACAGGUCAAUCUUUUAUCUCUUUUUCUU